rnacentral:rRNA from 1 species
AGCCACGGCUAACUACGUGCCAGCAGCCGCGGUAAUACGUAGGUGGCAAGCGUUAUCCGGAAUUACUGGGCGUAAAGAGUGAGCAGGCGGUUAGAUAAGUCUAUGGUUAAAUGCAACAGCUCAACUGUUGUUCGCUAUAGAAACUAUUUAACUAGAGUGCGGGAGAGGUAAGUGGAACUCCAUAUGUAGCGGUGGAAUGCUUAGAUAUAUGGAAGAACACCAGAGGCGAAGGCGGCUUACCAGUCCGUAACUGACGCUCAGUCACGAAAGCGUGGGGAGCAAAUAGGAUUAGAUAUCCUAGUAGUCCACGCCGUAAACGAUGAGAACCUGAUGCAGGAGAUAUUCUGUGUCGAAGCUAACGCGUUAAGUUCUCCGCCUGGGUACUACGUUCGCAAGAAUAAAACUUAAAGGAAUUGACGGGCGCCCGCACAAGCAGUGGAGCAUGGGGUUUAAUUCGUCGAUACACGAAAAACCUUACCAGGGCUUGACAUCCCGCUAAAAGCCUUAGAAAUAAGGAAAUAGUUAUAGCGGUGACAGGUGGUGCAUGGUUGUCGUCAGCUCGUGCCGUGAGGUGUUAGGUUAAGUCCUCAAACGAGCGCAACCCUUGUCUUUAGUUGCCAUUAUUAAUUUAGGAACUCUAGAGAGACUGCCGGCGCAAGCCGGAGGAAGGCGGGGAUGACGUCAAAUCAUCAUGCCCUUUAUGCCCUGGGCCACACCCGUGCUACAAUGGUCGGUACAAAGAGAAGCAACACUGUGAGGUGAAGCAAAUCCCAUAAAGCCGAUCUCAAUUCGGAUUGAAGUCUGCAACUCGACUUCAUGAAGCUGGAAUUGCUAGUAAUCGCAGAUCAGCAACGCUGCGGUGAAUACGUUCUCGGGCGUUGUACACACUGCCCGUCACACCAUGAGAGCCGGUAAUACUCGAAGUCGUUAGCCUAACCGUAAGGAGGGCGGCGCCUAAGGUAGGACUGGUGAUUGGGGUUAAGUCGUAACAAGGUAUCCCUACGGGAACGUGGGGAUG